GGCUCUUAUUUAGAAGGCGGGACUUAUUCCGCCAUAUUGCGCGUUACACUUUCUCCCCAUUCAAAACAAUACGAGUGACAUGUCUAAAGGAAAACACCUCCUCAUUAUCGGCUGACUCUAGAGAUAUUUGGCCAUUGGGUCUUCUGUUCUUUAUGCUUUUUUGUGACCGAGUUAUUGUCUUGAGGAGCUUGAGGAGCCCCCUUCACAAAAAAAAAGGAAAAACCACUGUUGUAGGGUAGCCUAUGAGAAACUGUUGCCGGGCAACAGAGGUGCAGUGUGCCUCUCUAAACAAUGCUGGACUUUAUCCAGUCCCCCAAAUCCAGGCUGACUCUUACACUGCCCGAUGAAAAUGAAACCUUUUGCUGAGUCCACCCCCACUUCUACAUCUGAAAAAGAGGAAGAGAGAGGGCUUCUGUCCCCCCAGAUGGCGAGACAAGAAGAAAAGUCAACCUCCUGGGCCGUCUCUAAGACCUAUCGUGGGAAGAUCUUCCGCAGUAAUCCAACAUACCACCCUGCCUAAAAAUGUCCCCAAGCAGACAGGAAGGAAGUCAUUUUUGAGUGGCAACACACACAGGAAAUCCACUUGAUAAAAGACUGCCACAAAAAGGAAAAUCACUUAUGCAGAGUGUCUUUGUAUGAGAAUACGUCUGGAUCUCUGUCCAUCUUUCCAGCUCGUUCAUCCUCAUGGAUUAACUAUCCACCUGAGGCUAUUCACCAGGCACACAAAGAUGGCCAAAGCUACCAAAAUCACCAUGGCAACCGCUAUUCUCCGGAUUGUCAUUGUCAGUGGAGGAAAUGAGAAAUGAUAGCCCCAUUUAGGAAUGUAAAGUGAGGACCCUUGAAACGGAAGCACCUCGAUGUCAUUAGAACAACGAUUUAAAAGAUUAGACUGAAUUACUGUUAGCUAUCAAGGUUAAGAGUAUAGGUUUAAGCACUCACUGUUUCUCCGCUUUGUCACGAUCGUCGAGGAAGAAAAGGGCGGUGGCAAGGAAGAACAUCCCCCCCAGGACGAUGACAAAGGGGCAAAGCAUGAGGGCAUAUCCCAAGCUCAGGAACUGCCAUAACGCUGACGUAGCGUAGCUCUCCUGCAGUGAGUCUGAUAUCUGCAUGAACACACAGAGACACAAACAAAGGAGAACUCAUUAGCAAACAAAGGGAAAUUCUGCUGUGAGCCAUCAGUGACAUUAAUGCAAUAAUUAACUUCCUAAUAUUGUCUUCAAGAGCUGUGCUGUGUCAAUCAGUUACUGGGUGAAUGGUUAAUCCUUGUGUUAACUUGUCUUAAGCUAUUGGUAUCUGUUCAAUAGUAAGUCAAUAAAUCUAUAAAAAGACAAUUAGUUUGCAUAUGAUUAAAUUUAUCAUAAACUGAUUCAAUUUAAUGCUGUUUGUUCCCUCAGGAUUCACUCAGUCAAUAGUCAGCGACUGGUUCUUAAUGUUAAAGACCACAACAUAUUUCCUAUGUAACAUUAGCGAGAGAUAUUGCCAUUCUAGUGGGCAUCUGAUUGUACAAAAAUAGUACAAAUAGUGUAGUGCAGGAUGAGUCAGCAAUAUUUUUGUUCCUUUUUCCUGGAAAAUCAUUUUUAAAUGCAUACAUCUGCUAAAAUUAAUUUUGUCAACUUCUUACAGUAGCGUAUGGACCACAAAACUCAACUUUUUUAUAACAGACCUGUGAACAAAAAAACAAAACAAAAACAAAGGGAUGUUUCUAGUGUUAAUAUGAUUAAAUGCUUUGUACUAGCCAUUCUAAUGUAUUAUAUUAUUAAAAAAUAAAGCAAAAGAUGUAUAUUUUGACACAAA